UACGGGGGGGGCAAGCGUUGUCCGGAUUUACUGGGCGUAAAGCGCGUGUAGGCGGCCACGCAGGUCCGUUGUGAAAACUGAAGGCUUAACCUUCAGACGUCGACGGAAACCGUGUGGCUAGAGUCCGGAAGGGGAGAGUGGAAUUCCUGGUGUAGCGGUGAAAUGCGCAGAUAUCAGGAAGAACACCAAUGGCGAAGGCAGCUCUCUGGGACGGUACUGACGCUGAGACGCGAAAGCGUGGGGAGCGAACAGG
rnacentral:rRNA from 1 species